GAUCAUGGCUCAGGAUGAACGCUAGCUACAGGCUUAACACAUGCAAGUCGAGGGGCAGCAUCAUCAAAGCUUGCUUUGAUGGAUGGCGACCGGNGCACGGGUGAGUAACACGUAUCCAACCUGCCGACAACACUGGGAUAGCCUUUCGAAAGAAAGAUUAAUACCGGAUGGCAUAGUUUUCCCGCAUGGGAUGAUUAUUAAAGAAUUUCGGUUGUCGAUGGGGAUGCGUUCCA
rnacentral:rRNA from 1 species